GCCCUCCUGGGCUGCAAUCCAGAAGAACUGGAAGCUCGAAAGGACCGGUCAAAGGAAUUGAUCCAAAGCUCGAGUAUGGUACGAGGAUCCACUCCGUACCCUUUCAAGGAAGUUUAACGCAAUGAUAAGCCCCGCCUAUUUAUUUGCAUAGUUGAAAGUCAAACGAAGCGAGGUGACAAAACAAAGAAAAUCAACAGGAGAUAGAAGCCUUAAAGGCCUGACCGAUUCCAAUUCCAAUAAUGGUACGAUGCUUUAG
rnacentral:lncRNA from 1 species